rnacentral:rRNA from 1 species
CUUACACAUGCAAGUCGAACGGCAGCGGGGGUAGCUUGCUACUGCCGGCGAGUGGCGAACGGGUGAGUAAUACAUCGGAACGUGCCCUGUAGUGGGGGAUAACUAGUCGAAAGACUAGCUAAUACCGCAUACGACUGAGGGUGAAAGUGGGGGACCGCAAGGCCUCAUGCUAUAGGAGCGGCCGAUGUCUGAUUAGCUAGUUGGUGGGGUAAAGGCCCACCAAGGCGACGAUCAGUAGCUGGUCUGAGAGGACGAUCAGCCACACUGGGACUGAGACACGGCCCAGACUCCUACGGGAGGCAGCAGUGGGGAAUUUUGGACAAUGGGGGCAACCCUGAUCCAGCAAUGCCGCGUGUGUGAAGAAGGCCUUCGGGUUGUAAAGCACUUUUGUCCGGAAAGAAAUCGCACUGGUUAAUACCUGGUGUGGAUGACGGUACCGGAAGAAUAAGGACCGGCUAACUACGUGCCAGCAGCCGCGGUAAUACGUAGGGUCCAAGCGUUAAUCGGAAUUACUGGGCGUAAAGCGUGCGCAGGCGGUUGUGCAAGACCGAUGUGAAAUCCCCGGGCUUAACCUGGGAAUUGCAUUGGUGACUGCACGGCUAGAGUGUGUCAGAGGGAGGUAGAAUUCCACGUGUAGCAGUGAAAUGCGUAGAGAUGUGGAGGAAUACCGAUGGCGAAGGCAGCCUCCUGGGAUAACACUGACGCUCAUGCACGAAAGCGUGGGGAGCAAACAGGAUUAGAUACCCUGGUAGUCCACGCCCUAAACGAUGUCAACUAGUUGUUGGGGAUUCAUUUCCUUAGUAACGUAGCUAACGCGUGAAGU